UCUGCAGAUAACCUUCCCCAUUAAAUCCUCACAGCUCGACCUACACCAAGUUAGGACAAAAGCUACCAAUACUUUAUGGUCUCCCUGCAGUUUUUCUGUGUUGUGAACUUGUAUCGAUCCCUCACAUCCCAUCCUUCACCAUUCUCUGGGGAUUGAUGGAGCCACCAUCUUCUCAAGUAAUGUCAACCGGGGAUGAUUCACAAGAUAGAAUCAUCAAGGCAUGUUGCUCUUGCUGCUAUGAGUGCUCCACCAGUUUCCUUGACUACAUAUGCUGUUCCUGCCUCUGGGACUGCUAGCCUUGACAGCACAAGAAGCUUCGAGCAAGGAAUCAAUGGAUCCUCCUCAGCAAGAACAGUUAUACUUGGUGGAGUUGGAAGGGGCAGGAGCAAAGGAAAGCACUCAGUUGUGCUUCUAAUCUUCUGCUGACGCUAAAUUCUUUGUCUUCAAAAAUCAUCUCUGGAUAUCUAAUGAAUGACCAGAAUGUUGCAAGUGGAA